UCUGUAAACUUUAUCUUCCUCAAAGGUCGUUGUAAGGAUUGAUGAGAGGUUCUGGUGGUGUUGGGUAGCUUCUCCUGGGACACAGCUCCCUGGGGAUGGGCACCUGGCUCAGGCGGGCUAUGGCCACCAUGGGAUGGAAUUGGCUUCUGACUCUCAUCUCCUUUCUGCCUGCUUGGAAGCAGUGAUCAUGUUGUACUCAACUGGAAUAUGUGGAGGAAUGGGUGCAGCACUGUAUAUGUUGUUUUUGAUUGGUUUAUCCAUUUCCAGGUUCAAAGAGACUGGAAGCAUUUGGUUUCCUGGUGUUUGGUUGGUCAAACUCACUUCUAGCUCCUUUGCUGACAGCCAAGAGAAGAGGAUCUUUCCUCUCUAGAGAACAUCUAUGUGAGGUGUGAACAAGAGCACAUUGUCAAACCAGGGGAGGUCAGCGGGUCACAGCACAUUUUAUUCAUGCCACGAUAGAGACAAGUGUGGAAACAACUCUUCAAUACAGUUUCCUUAGGAGAAAGAACUCAUGAGUGAGCACGUACGCCAGCAAAAGUAUGAUUUGGGGAAGUUUAACAAUAAUCCUCAUAAACCCACAAGUGAAGAUUUAAUUCAAAUACUCGUGCGUGGCUGGUUGCUGAGUGUGGAACGACCAUUACCGCAUAUCUAACUGAGAAUGAUAUAUUGAUGAAAGCACAAAACUGUGACAGUGUCAUAAUCUUGUUGGAACUGCAUCUGAAGAGAGUUACUGGUCUUGUCUUGCUUGCACUACCUUCAAAGGACUUUCAAGGGCUGUGGAACCUUGUCAAAGCUCCUUACUGCCUUGGGGAGCCGAGCAUUCCUGCCUUCCCAGUAUUGGAUCAGGUGUAGCUCCUAUUGCUUCCAGACAGCCCCAAGUCUAUCCCCAUCUUAAGCAUUCGUGGCAAUGUUUCCGAAUGACCUGAUUAGUGUGUCUGUCUCCCCUACUUGGCCGUAGGAGCCAUUGCUUUAGAACCAGGUCCAUUUUUCCACCAUUGUAUUCCAUGUGACUAACAGAGUGCAGGUACUAGGCCAGUAGUCAUAAUGAUUUGUUAAAAGAUGAGUGAAUGUUCAGUAGGAAGAUUGUGUCUUAGGAGGAAAUUUAUACUGUCAGGAUUUACAAAACUUAGCACACACUUCAAAAAUGCUAAAUACCUGUUACUGCUAAAUGAGUAAAGUGUACUAAAAUUCUAUGAAGUUUGAAAGUAGAGAUUUUCCUUUAUUUCCCUCUAUUGAAUUAGAAGUGACUAGAUGAGAUUUCUCAGAGAAGGUGAUGACACCGAUUCCAGCACUCUUGCCUGGAAAAUCCCGUGGACGGAGGAGCCUGGUGGGCUGCAGUCCAUGGGGUC